rnacentral:lncRNA from 1 species
UUGAUAUAUGUUCGAGACCUUCAGGACUAGUCCGGUACAAAGCCUGUACGUCGAAUCUAAUGAAUGGUCUCUACAUUUACAAAGAACAUACUUAAGCCUUUCAUAUGCCCUCCAAGUAAAAUCAGAUGUACAUCAUCCAUGUAA